CUUUAUAUUUGCGGCUUGAUAAGCAUAUACAAAAGAAGUACACGUCAUUAUACGGCUAUGGGAAACAAAAUAUACGUGGAUGAAAAAAAUGCACAAAAUUAUAUUAAGUAAAGCCACCAUUGGUGGUGACCAUAUUAUUCCACAGGUAUAUAGAUCUUUCCCUUCGGAGUUCAGUAGAGACACCAAGUGAGUUGAGCAAAGAUACCAAGCACCUCAAACAACAAGCAAUGUCCCCUACUUCUCUCAUCCACCAAAUAUAGCAUAAACUACAUCAAUGCCACAGGGGCAUGAAUUAGACACAGGCAACAAACUUGCAGGUGGAAACAGUUGGCAAAAAGUAUAUGCAUAGAUUACAAAAACUUACAGGUGGAAACAGGGAAAGAAACAGGCAACAAACAGUAUAAGCCAGACAAUUGUUUAACUUUUAACUCCCAAAGGCAGAUAGCAAAGGAAAAUCCUGAAAGAUCUCAAGGUCUUCUGAAUAAUCUUCCAGGAAUUUUCAAUGCAAUACAGUUAUAGUCUUGAAGGAUGAAAGAUUCAAGCUAGAUAUAGCUUAAACAGAAAACUGGGUCAUUGAAUUAAUUAGAAGAAUCUGAUCAGCCAAUUCUCCUCAUCUUUACUUACCAGGUUUGUCAUCACCCACUAUAAUACAAUCAACUAGUGGAAGAUACUUAAAAACAGUUUUAACAACCCAAUUUGACAUUUGGUAAAAGUGUCUGUUUGUUCUAUCUAAUUGGUAUUUUUCCAUUAGUUCCUUCAACUUUUAUUAGCAAAGAACUUAAACCCAACCCAUAGAUAAAUGCCUUGUGAUUAGCAGGUUUCAAUAUUUAACACAACAUACAAAUAUAAGUAAUUCAGUAUCUACUGGCCAUUAUAAACACAAAUAUUCAUAAAGCGGACCUUUUCCUACCCACAAGGAAGAAUAUGAAAAUGAAUUUUUCCUACCCACAAGGAAGAAUAUGAAAAUGAAUUGGCAAUAUCUGCACCCAAUUUGAUAAGCAAAAUAGCAGGGUGGACCUAGAGAUCAUAAUUUUUUUUUCCCUAUACAU
rnacentral:misc_RNA from 1 species